UACGUGCGUGCGGUGGUGUAGUGGCGGCGUCUUCUGGACGUAUCCGAAUAUUGGCCCAGUGAGAUGGCAUGGAUGGCAAGCCUAUUUACUGGGGCUGUAUUUGACGAUGUGCGUUCUGGACGCAACAGAUAUUGCGUCACUGUCAGAUGCCCUAGUCAGUGCCAUGGAAAAUGCCAAGGUGAGCCCCAACACCACAGCGCCGGUCCCAAGCCUGGGCAGGCGCCAGUCUCGUCAGUUCUCGCGCCGCUUCAUGCCGGGCUCCUCCGACCAGCUGAGCUCGGCUCGCGGCUCGCCGGCCCCCGUCUACUUCCCCGGUCGGUCGGUGGUGUCCGUCAGCCAGCCGCAACCGCCGGCGCCGCCCCUCCUGCUCCCGCCGGCGCCGCCCCCUGGGGUGCU